rnacentral:rRNA from 1 species
UACGGGGGGGGCAAGCGUUGUUCGGAAUUACUGGGCGUAAAGGGGUUGUAGGUGGCUCGCUAAGUCACACGUGAAAUCCCUCAGCUUAACUGGGGAACUGCGUGUGAGACUGGCGAGCUUGAGGACAGGAGAGGAACGCGGAAUUCCAGGUGUAGCGGUGAAAUGCGUAGAUAUCUGGAGGAACACCGGUGGCGAAGGCGGCGUUCUGGGUCGAUACUGACGCUGAGGUGCGAAAGCGUGGGGAGCAAACAGG